GACGAACGCUGGCGGCGUGCCUAAUACAUGCAAGUAGAACGCUGAAGCGAGGAGCUUGCUCUUCUUGGAUGAGUUGCGAACGGGUGAGUAACGCGUAGGUAACCUGCCUUGUAGCGGGGGAUAACUAUUGGAAACGAUAGCUAAUACCGCAUAACAAUGGAUGACCCAUGUCAUUUAUUUGAAAGGGGCAAAUGCUCCACUACAAGAUGGACCUGCGUUGUAUUAGCUAGUAGGUGAGGUAACGGCUCACCUAGGCGACGAUACAUAGCCGACCUGAGAGGGUGAUCGGCCACACUGGGACUGAGACACGGCCCAGACUCCUACGGGAGGCAGCAGUAGGGAAUCGUCGGCAAUGGGGGCAACCCUGACCGAGCAACGCCGCGGGAGUGAAGAAGGUUUUCGGAUCGUAAAGCUCUGUUGUAAGUCAAGAACGAGUGUGAGAGUGGAAAGUUCACACUGUGACGGUAGCUUACCAGAAAGGGACGGCUAACUACGUG
rnacentral:rRNA from 1 species